GGAAGCAGGGGAUCGCAAGACCUCGCGCUCAUGGAGCGGCCGAUGUCGGAUUAGCUAGUUGGCGGGGUAACGGCCCACCAAGGCGACGAUCCGUAGCUGGUCUGAGAGGAUGAUCAGCCACACUGGGACUGAGACACGGCCCAGACUCCUACGGGAGGCAGCAGUGGGGAAUUUUGGACAAUGGGGGCAACCCUGAUCCAGCCAUGCCGCGUGAGUGAAGAAGGCCUUCGGGUUGUAAAGCUCUUUCGGCCGGAACGAAAUCGGGCGCGUGAAUAACGCGCCUGGAUGACGGUACUGGAAGAAGAAGCACCGGCUAACUACGUGCCAGCAGCCGCGGUAAUACGUAGGGUGCGAGCGUUAAUCGGAAUUACUGGGCGUAAGGCGUGCGUAGGCGGUUUCGCAAGUCAGAUGUGAAAUCCCCGGGCUUAACCUGGGAACUGCGUUUGAAACUACAAAGCUAGA
rnacentral:rRNA from 1 species